rnacentral:rRNA from 1 species
UACGUAGGGGGCAAGCGUUGUCCGGAUUUAUUGGGCGUAAAGAGCGUGUAGGCGGCCAUGUAGGUCCGUUGUGAAAACUCGAGGCUCAACCUCGAGACGCCGAUGGAAACCAUGUGGCUAGAGUCCGGAAGAGGAGAGUGGAAUUCCUGGUGUAGCGGUGAAAUGCGCAGAGAUCCGGAAGAACACCGGUGGCGAAGGCGGCCUGCUGGGACAGUGCUGACGCUGAGGCGCGACAGCGUGGGGAGCAAACAGG